GCUUCCGUACGCCGUUCAAACUGGCACAGACGAGCCAAUCAGAAGGAGCAGACGCUGCACGUGGCCUGGCUCCGGGGAGACCCAGGCCCCGCCGAGGCCUGGUCACGUGACUGAAGAGUUGGAGGCUCUCUUGGCCUUUCUGGCCGGCAGGUCCUCCCACCGUCUCGUUUCCUCAGCGUCUCUCUAGUCGGCCUGACAGCAGCUCUUUGCUAGGAGCUGAGUUUGAAGGCGAGCGGGGACUUUGGGUGUGUGGUGGACCUGGGCAUGCCUCGGCCAGAGUCAGCUACGCCUUUGUCACCCCCUCCUGUAAGAAUGGAACUGUGCCUCCUUCCUCCCAUCCAGAAGGUACUUGGGAGGAGUACAGUAUGUGGGCCCAAGGAAAAAGCGGAGGGACUGUGCCUGGGGUGGACUUUACAUCCCAGAGACAAAGGAAGAAAAGCCAGACAAAGGGAGUGCCUGAUACGGGCUGGGUUCCUACAGAAGCCUCUGCCACACUGCGUUAUUUUCCAGUGCUGUUCCACAAUUUCUACAAGGAUAUAAAAUUUUAAACGAAAUGAACUAAUAAAAUAAAUGCAGGAGCAGAAGACCUAAUUCCUUUCCCUACCUGAACCUGAAUGAGGUGGAACAGUCCAGGAAAUUUAGGCAAGGGCAGGGUCAUGAAGAAAGACAUCUUCGUGAUCCUCGCGCCGUCUGAGGACAAAGUAGGGCACCUCUUUUCUUGCUCGUAAGAACAGAGCCGAGUAAAGAGAAGCUGAAGACCCUAGAGCGUCCCGGUUUCCUCUCCUGACCCUACUGAUAACAAAGUGGGCGACCUCCUGCCACUGGGAUCCUUAGUUUCCCCCACUUGUCAAAUGGGUAUAAGAAUAGUUUGCUGGGUUAGAGAUAAUCCAAGUUAAGCAUUACCAAGCCUGCCGUAAAUUGUUCUUUAAAAACGUGGCUUUUACCCCGCGAGGCUCAAGGCGGUCCUUUCACUGUAUUCAGCCCCACCCUAAACCAAUAUUUACUGAAUUUACUGAAUCAACUAGGGCUUUAAUCCCAAAGGACAACCUAGCCCUUCCCUGAGGGACAUUUUGGUGUCGGGAGAGGCACAAGGUCCAUUUUUGCCCCAGCCUGGAGGGGAACAGGUUUCUCGGCCCACUUCCCGUUGGCAGGCAGUCCUGGCUCCGUUCAUUCAUGAAAAGCAGGUACCCAAAAUCACUCUUGUCGAGCACUGGGCCCUCCCAGGCUUGGGAAGGGUCGCCUGGCACCUAAUUCCACUCGGAGACUCGGGAAAGACUCCCUAAAGGAGCAGCUGGAUUUCCAUCUCAGCCAGCGCUGCUGAACAGAAACCCGGCUUGACACACGUGCGGAAAGCCACUGCCUACGCAUGCGCAUUGGCCUUCCCUCGCGGACCCUGAUGCCCUGGAACUACAAAUCCCGUCUUGCCGCGCGCCCGCGCUCUCGCGCUUACGAGCUCCGGCUAAGACUCAAAACCUGGGGGUCUGGAGACCGCCCCCGGUGGUGGGCGUUGUGCAGAAGGAAGAGUGAGAUCGAGGGGUUGGGACUGGGUUUGGAUUUUUCGGGAGGGGGUGCGAAAGGUAGGAGUUUUCUGCUCAGGGUUGGGGAUUGCCCCAGAUAAGGGUCAGGCGGGCAGCGACUAGAUGCAGGAGAGAAUUUGUUAGUGCUCACCCCCCUCCUUUUAAUAUGUCAAGUUUCCAGCGGCCUUGCGAAGCCUCGGGAGAGGGAGUCAGGCAGAAUAAAGUGGCCCCUGCUGCCUGUGUGGUCCACAGUACUGGCCCUCGUGUGAUCACGCGGUUUCCAAAUGUAAUUCUCACAACAGCCCUGUGCACGGCAAGCUUACUUCAACGCAACUAGAAGCGCUCAGUGCAAAAAGGACACUCAAGCAGCUGCUGCCCAACCGUAAAGCUGAGAUGGGAGACAAACUCCUCUCGGGUUACAACAGCCGCCCUGCCUGAGCAUCUCCUCAAGCUAUGCCCGCGUUCAGAGAUGAAGAACCUGAACCACAGAAAAGCUAAGUGACUUACCCAAGAUCACACAGCUAACAGGCACCAGAAUAGUUUGAAGCCAGGGCUCUGUGACUCACCACAACCUGAAUUCGAUUCUCCUCCGGCUUCAGACUUUCCCCAGGUCAGGGCUGGCGAGCGUGGUGAAGGGGGGUGCCUAGACUCCAUCAGCUCCUCCUGCCUCCUGACACUCCAGAAUAGAGGCUGAGCUGCUGCAGGGGUGACCUACUUCUCCCACUGUGUUUCUUUUUAAAGAUCCAGCCGCUGCUGGUGGCUUUGAGGGAGGAGGAGGCAGAGGUGGCUCAAUUGGCUUCCUAUGUCCCCUCCCCCCACACUACCUCCCAAGGCUAAAGUCACACCUGGGCCAGCUCAGCAUCCCCAAAGUAGGAGGGAGAGACCCUUGAGCGAUGUGGAAAAUAACCAGACCAGCCUCACCGUUAGCAGUAGGGACAGGUCCUGUUCCGAAGCCUGCUUGCUGGCUCUUCCACCACGAGCCAGGCGCGCUUUCAGCUUGGGGGCUUUGCACCUGCUGUUCCUCCGGCCUGGAACACUUCCAAGGACCAUCUUCACUGCCUGUCCCACUGCCUGUUCCCUUCAGAACUUAGGAUAAAUGUCACCUUCUCAGGGAGGCCAUCCCUGACCAAUUUAAAACUGCCGUCUCUCCCACUCUCAUCCCGGUCCCCCGUUCACACUUUAUUUUUUGCCAAUAGAAUGUAUAAUUAUCCAAUGUGUUCUGUUGUACUUUGUUUCUCGUGUUUCCCCCACUAGAACGUUAGCACCACCAGGACAAGUUUUCUCUGUUCUGGUGCUCGGUAUUGGGAACACCCCAC